UGGAACACAGAUAUGUGACCUAAUAAUUGGAGAGAAGCCCCAAUUUGGAAUUUGAUCUUGAUUUUACCUUAUAUGAAGAAACUCUUGAUCUUUCCACCAAAACGGCUUCAUGAAUCCGAAGCUUGAUUGCUCUGCUAAAGAAACUUGAGAAGUUUUCCUUUAAAACCACAAAAUCCAACCAUGGAUCAGAAAAAUGAAGUUACACAAUGGUCCAAUUUUAUUUUAUUUUUAAUUAGUUUAACGUGUU
rnacentral:lncRNA from 1 species